GGCGAGCUUAGGUUGAGUCUUUAUGACUGGCCACAGUAAUUGGGUGUACUUUGAACUACUCGUGUAGUACACUGAACUUUAGCAAAUUGCGAAGUUUGAGUGUGGGAAUAGUAAUUGGAACGAUUCCACAUCUUUUGAGAGGUUGUCGAAAAGUUUUCGGCAGGUUACUGGAGUGACUAAGCGACCGGAAGAGCAAAAGUGCAUUGCAAAUGCGAAAUGCUGAAUUUUACACUGAGUACCGGUACCAACUUGCCUGAGUACCAGUACCCAGUAUAGCAGCUGUGUGGCUUGUGGUUGUUUUGGUAAUUUUGCUUUGAGCUUAUCCUUUAAACACCCUAGCUCGAUCCCUGCAGCAGCUUAAGGUGUGCUGGAGCUCAGAGAACAGGGUAAGCUUUUCUCUCUUUCUCUCUCUAGGGUUUUGGGGUCGUUUUGAGUAGAAUCAAGUGAUUUGAGCUCAUUUUCUUGCCCUCUCUUGUUCCUAACUGAUUUGGGAGGCUUUAGAGCUGUUGAAGGUUGUGAGAGAAAGGAGUUUGGAGGUAUUUCGCAGCCCUAGCUCUGCAAGAAGCUGAGUUGAACUUGAUAAGCUGGUUUUGGGAAGGAUAAAACAACUAUAAAAGAGGUGUUUCUCUAUUCUAACUCAGCUAGGAGCUAAGUUGAAGCUUGGUGAGAUUUGGGGAUGCUUGUAGUAGCUGUAGAAGGGGUGUUUUGCUGUGAUUCUUCAAGCCUAACUCAGUCGAACCUGAGUAGGAGCUGUACAAGGGCUGUGAACCACUUUGGCUGAGUUUGAGUGGUCCUUGUAGAUCAGUUUUGGUGUACUUCAACUUGAGUUGGAGCUCAGUAAGGUUCGCAGCAGAGUUGAUGAUCACCUUGAGCUGAAUUUUGGUGAUUCUUGAAGGCUGGAUUCGAUGUGUUCCAACCUGAAGUGGAGUGGAAUUUAAGUUUGGAUUCUAAGCGAAGGUGCUUGGAGGCUUUGGAUUACCUUCGUUAGCGGAAUCGACGAGAGUCGACAGCGAUUUG